AGGUAGACAAAAGUGCUGGAGAAACUCAGCGGGUGUGGCAGCAUCUAUGGAGCGAAGGAAAUGGGCAACGUUUCGGGUCGAGACCCUUCGUCAGACAUCUGA